UACGUAGGGGGCUAGCGUUGUCCGGAAUUAUUGGGCGUAAAGAGCUCGUAGGCGGUUUGUCGCGUCUGCUGUGAAAUCCCGAGGCUCAACCUCGGGCCUGCAGUGGGUACGGGCAGACUGGAGUGCGGUAGGGGAGAAUGGAAUUCCUGGUGUAGCGGUGGAAUGCGCAGAUAUCAGGAGGAACACCGAUGGCGAAGGCAGGUCUCUGGGCCGAUACUGACGCUGAGGAGCGAAAGCGUGGGGAGCGAACAGG
rnacentral:rRNA from 1 species